CAAAAUUUAGGAUGACGUGACGAUAAGAAAUUGUUCAAAAUUAAAAAAAAAAUGUUGAAAUUUAGGUCAAUCAGUAAAUAAAACUCAUGAAUAGAGUAGAUACGUACAUACAUUAAUAAUGUAUGUAGGAGCAGAUGGAACAAUCCAUCAAGGUGGUCAGCCUUGGGGAUUGAGGAAAAUUAUAGGCCUUUUUUGGGCCUUCAUAGACUUUUUUGUCAAAUUUUUCAAAACCUUGUUUAAUUUUGAUACUAAAACUGAGCCACGAUCAGGAAACAAAUGGAUCUAAGGGAUCUGGACCUUUUGAUGGUCCUGGUGCACGCAAAAGGAUAGGAAGAAUUAACACCCUUCCCACAUGUGAUAUUCCUGGUGGCGGAUGAGCUCGUUAAGGCUCUUCGGGAUGUAAUUAGUCUUGAAGAGCCAAUUGAAUCUGCUGCAUUUUUUCAGUUUAAACUCUAGAAUUUUCAAAAACUAUAAGUUAUAAUCAAUUUGUACAAAUAAUUAUUGAAUUUUGUUCUUAUCUAAUCCUUUAAUUUUACAAGAUAUGCACAGCAGCAGUUUCGGAAACUAGAUAAACAAAUCUUAUGGAUUUUAUCCAUCAUAUGACGCUUUAUCCAUAAACUUUAUUAGAAGUGGGAUUUAGCUGAAGUUUGAUUUGGAAUCUAGUUAUCUUUUGAUCAUACUUAUCUGGAUUUUUCUUAUCAUGUUUAUACAGUUUGUUUUUGUAAAUGCCUAAAUACAUUUUAUCAAUAA